UUUCCACCACAGAUAGAUAUUAGGGCAUGGAAGAUUCCACUGAAUUUUGGGGGUGAUCCAGAUCCGGAUUGGCGGACAUCAGAAAUCUGUUUGCUCUUGUUUUUACUUUUAAUUUCAAGUGCACAAAAUAUCACAAUAUUAGGACUUAGAAACCUGGACAGUGUAGCACCCAGAUCAUAUAGCAGGAAGUUGUCCUGGAAUGUUCGGUUUAAAUUCAACAUUUUGUGUUAUUUUGUGGAGGCAAUUUUUAGAAGCAUCUCCACAAAAGAACAAAUAAAAAUGUGUUUCUUUCCAAAACUGAAGCUAAUGUUUGUAUGUUUGUCAUUUCUCCGAGUGCAACCACUAAGCUUUGGGUUGGCUGUGUUUUGGCUGCAGACUGUUCUGAACACCAUGUGUGGUUAUGGUGUGCAGGAGCUGGAUGAAAGCUUGGCCAGCCAGUAUGUCUUGACCAUUGGCUGCCUGGAGAAGAUCAUGUGGUGGACCAAGCAGAACCUGCUACUGGUUGCUGGUCUGACUGCCAGCCUCUUGCUACUUGAACUCUGCAUGAUCUGCCUCGCAGCUGUACAGAUUUCAAAGAUAAAGAAAGUCCAGCAACAGAAGAAACGCAAUGCAGAAAGAACCAAGUUGGAACAUAAAGACAGCUACUGGCUUCCUGCUUUUGCAGAAUUUGAGGACUAGCUAACCUCAAACUGUUGGUGGAUAAAUGUUUUUUUUUUAAUUAAGGAAUGCAUUUGGUCUGGCCUGAGUAUUGGCUAACAACAGCAGCUUGAUGGUUUCUAUCGCCAAACUCCGCCCCAUUCUCUCCCUCUCAGAUGCUGAAAAGCUGGUCUCUCCUCCAGACUGGACUACUGCAGUGCACUUCUCAUCGAGAUCCUAGCAAGAACCUGCAGAGGCUCCAGUACAUCCAGAACUCUGCAGCUAGGAUGCUGAUGAGAGUGCACAAACAUGAGCACAUUACCCCCAUGCUCCACUCACUUCACUGGCUUCCUGAAUCCACCAGGAUUGAAUACAAGGUCUCCCUCCUUACACACCAAUGUAUCUAUGGACAUGCCCCCCCCCCCCCCCCCCACACACACACACACAUACACACACCUCAAAGAACUCCUCAACCCACAAAACAACACGUUCCUCCCACUCCACUCACUUAAAUCUCCUUCACACACCCAGAACCAGGCUAAGAACCAUGGGAGAUAGGGCCUUCUGUGCUGCUGCCCCAUGCCUGUGGAAUGCCCCCCCUGACACCCUGAGGGCACCACAAUCCACUGACUGUUUUAAAAGGAGUCUAAAGACAUUUCUCUUUAACAAAACCUAUGGUCCAUCCUUUUAGAUGUUUAUUUUAAAUUCUUUCUAUUUUAAAAUAUGACUGCUUGUCUUGUUUUGUUUUUUGCUCUUAUUGCAUCUUUUUAUCCUGUAGCCCUUUGAGAUCACUGAUGAAAAGGGCACUAUAAAUAAAAUGUAUUAUUAUUUAUUAUUGUGUUACACCUAAAACUCAAAGCAUCAGUUUUACAUAGAUUCAGUGUCACAUCAUAAACAGAUUUUUGAAAGGGUGAAAACAAAUUUCCAGACUAAAUCAGAAACAUCAAGUAGAGGGACUUAAAACAGUACUGCAAAAUAAAUGAUUUAUGGGCCUAUGCAGAGGGGUUUUGAGAGCUGUCUUUAUUAAGCCUCCUCAAACCUCACUGCCCAUUCCAGUAAAAAAAAAAACAGCAAAACCUUUAUGUGCAUAUGUUCAGCACCACAGAAGUUUGCAGACUGCCCAUGGAGACUUUAA